CCUACGGGAGGCAGCAGUGGGGGAUAUUGCACAAUGGGGGGAACCCUGAUGCAGCGACGCCGCGUGGGGGAAGAAGGGCCUCGGCGCGUAAAGCCCUGUCAGCAGGGAAGAAAAUGACGGUACCUGAAGAAGAAGCCCCGGCUAACUACGUGCCAGCAGCCGCGGUAAUACGUAGGGGGCAAGCGUUAUCCGGAUUUACUGGGUGGAAAGGGGGCGCAGACGGCGAGGCAAGCCAGGAGUGAAAGCCCGGGGCCCAACCCCGGGACUGCUGUUGGAACUGCGUGGCUGGAGUGCAGGAGGGGCAGGCGGAAUUCCUGGUGUAGCGGUGAAAUGCGUAGAUAUCAGGAGGAACACCGGUGGCGAAGGCGGCCUGCUGGACUGCAACUGACGUUGAGGCCCGAAAGCGUGGGGAGCAAACAGGAUUAGAUACCCGGGUAGUC
rnacentral:rRNA from 1 species